UAGGGAAUCUUCCGCAAUGGACGCAAGUCUGACGGAGCAACGCCGCGUGAGUGAAGAAGGAUUUCGGUUCGUAAAACUCUGUUGUUAGAGAAGAACAGCGCAUAGAGUAACUGUUAUGCGUGUGACGGUAUCUAACCAGAAAGCCACGGCUAACUACGUGCCAGCAGCCGCGGUAAUACGUAGGUGGCAAGCGUUGUCCGGAUUUAUUGGGCGUAAAGCGAGCGCAGGCGGUCAAUUAAGUCUGAUGUGAAAGCCCCCGGCUCAACCGGGGAGGGUCAUUGGAAACUGGUUGACUUGAGUGCAGAAGAGGAGAGCGGAAUUCCAUGUGUAGCGGUGAAAUGCGUAGAUAUAUGGAGGAACACCAGUGGCGAAGGCGACUCUCUGGUCUGUAACUGACGCUGAGGUUCGAAAGCGUGGGUAGCAAACAGG
rnacentral:rRNA from 1 species